ACUCAAAGGAAUUGACGGGGACCCGCACAAGCAGUGGAGUAUGUGGUUUAAUUCGAGGCAACGCGAAGAACCUUACCAAGGCUUGACAUCCCGCGACAAACGUGGAAACACGUCUUCCCCUUCGGGGGCGCGGAGACAGGUGGUGCAUGGUUGUCGUCAGCUCGUGUCGUGAGAUGUUGGGUUAAGUCCCGCAACGAGCGCAACCCCUGCUGCCAGUUGCCAUCAUUAAGUUGGGCACUCUGGCGGGACUGCCGGUGACAAAUCGGAGGAAGGUGGGGAUGACGUCAAAUCAUCAUGCCCCUUAUGUCUUGGGCUACACACGUACUACAAUGGCCGUUACAGAAGGAAGCGAAGCCGCGAGGCGGAGCGAAUCCCCAAAGGCGGCCCCAGUUCGGAUUGCAGGCUGCAACUCGCCUGCAUGAAGUCGGAAUUGCUAGUAAUUGCAGGUCAGCAUACUGCAGUGAAUACGUUCCCGGGUCUUGUACACACCGCCCGU
rnacentral:rRNA from 1 species